GGGGCUGACCGGUUUUGACAGCAAGAGUAGUAGAUCGGUAAGCAUGUCGAGCCUUGUGAUUAAGCUCGUUAAUCCGUGUCACACAACUAUUAAUUGGCGAAAACAAUUUUGCUCUCGCAGCAUAAUCGAAGUUUAGUAGAUUAGCUUUAUUCCGAUGCCAGGCAUUGGAUCGAGACGGUUCGCAGGUGGAGAUGCCUAAUUCCGGCCUGAUAUCGAGUCGCACGUAAUUUUGGGAUAGUUUCGAUGCUGCUUCAUCAUCGUUACGAAAUUUAGAAGCUAAGGUAAGGAUCAGGGUGUUUGUUCCCUUUCCGAUCUCGAAAACCAAUAACAACCUAAGCAUGUAGAAAGCCAGUUUGUUCCUUGUUUGGACGAGGGUUCGAAUCCCUCCAGCUCCACUU
rfam:Bacteroidetes bacterium GWF2_41_31 gwf2_scaffold_37, whole genome shotgun sequence.